rnacentral:rRNA from 1 species
UACGUAGGGUGCAAGCGUUGUCCGGAAUUAUUGGGCGUAAAGAGCUCGUAGGCGGUCUGUCACGUCGGCUGUGAAAACCUGAGGCUCAACCUUGGGCCUGCAGUCGAUACGGGCAAACUAGAGUACUGCAGGGGAGACUGGAAUUCCUGGUGUAGCGGUGAAAUGCGCAGAUAUCAGGAGGAACACCGGUGGCGAAGGCGGGUCUCUGGGCAGUGAACUGACGCUGGAGGAGC